rnacentral:rRNA from 1 species
UACGUAGGUGGCAAGCGUUGUCCGGAAUUACUGGGCGUAAAGGGCGUGUAGGCGGCCUUUUAAGUCAGACGUGAAAACCCUGGGCUUAACCCAGGAACUGCGUUUGAAACUGGAAGGCUUGAGGACCGGAGAGGGUAGUGGAAUUCCCAGUGUAGCGGUGAAAUGCGUAGAUAUUGGGAGGAACACCAGUGGCGAAGGCGACUGCCUGGACGGCACCUGACGCUGAGGCGCGAAAGCUAGGGGAGCGAACGGG